rnacentral:rRNA from 1 species
CGAGCGGACCGACGGGAGCUUGCUCCCUUAGGUCAGCGGCGGACGGGUGAGUAACACGUGGGUAACCUGCCUGUAAGACUGGGAUAACUCCGGGAAACCGGGGCUAAUACCGGAUGCUUGAUUGAACCGCAUGGUUCAAUCAUAAAAGGUGGCUUUCAGCUACCACUUACAGAUGGACCCGCGGCGCAUUAGCUAGUUGGUGAGGUAACGGCUCACCAAGGCGACGAUGCGUAGCCGACCUGAGAGGGUGAUCGGCCACACUGGGACUGAGACACGGCCCAGACUCCUACGGGAGGCAGCAGUAGGGAAUCUUCCGCAAUGGACGAAAGUCUGACGGAGCAACGCCGCGUGAGUGAUGAAGGUUUUCGGAUCGUAAAACUCUGUUGUUAGGGAAGAACAAGUACCGUUCGAAUAGGGCGGCACCUUGACGGUACCUAACCAGAAAGCCACGGCUAACUACGUGCCAGCAGCCGCGGUAAUACGUAGGUGGCAAGCGUUGUCCGGAAUUAUUGGGCGUAAAGCGCGCGCAGGCGGUUUCUUAAGUCUGAUGUGAAAGCCCCCGGCUCAACCGGGGAGGGUCAUUGGAAACUGGGGAACUUGAGUGCAGAAGAGGAGAGUGGAAUUCCACGUGUAGCGGUGAAAUGCGUAGAGAUGUGGAGGAACACCAGUGGCGAAGGCGACUCUC